CCUACGGGUGCAGCAGUGAGGAAUAUUGGUCAAUGGGCGCGAGCCUGAACCAGCCAAGUCGCGUGAGGGAGGACGGCCCUACGGGUUGUAACCCUCUUUUGCCGGGGAGCAACGGGCGUCACGUGUGGCGCCCCUGAGUGUACCCGGAGAAAAAGCAUCGGCAAACUCCGGGCCAGCAGCCGCGGUAAUACGGAGGAUGCGAGCGUUAUCCGGAUUUAUUGGGUUUAAGGGGUGCGUAGGCGGAUCGUUCAGUCAGUGGGCAAAUGGAGGGGCUCAACCCCUUCCCGCCAUUGAAACUGGCGCUCUGGAGUGGAAGAGAAGUAGGCGGAAUGCGUGGUGUAGCGGUGAAAUG
rnacentral:rRNA from 1 species